rnacentral:rRNA from 1 species
CGCGCGGCCCGAACCUCCCAACCCUGUGUCUACAUUACCUUGUCGUUGCUUCGGCGGACCGGUUGACCAACUGGUCUUGACCGCCGAGGGGGUCACACCCCUCGGAGCGCGUCCGCCGAUGGCCCAACCACAAAACUCUUGCACCAAACAUUGUCGUCUGAAUACUUUAUUGAUUUACAAUCAAAAACAAAACUUUCAACAACGGAUCUCUUGGUUCUGGCAUCGAUGAAGAACGCAGCGAAAUGCGAUAAGUAAUGCGAAUUGCAGAAUUUCCGUGAGUCAUCGAAUCUUUGAACGCACAUUGCGCCCACUGGUAUUCCGGUGGGCAUGCCUGUUCGAGCGUCAUUAUCCUCCCUCAAACCUCGGGUUUGGUGUUGGGCCGUGUUACCACGUCCGUCCCCCGUUCGCGGCGGGGCGUGACCAACUGGCCUCAAAGACAAUGACGGCGUCCGUGGGACCCUCGGUGCAACGAGCUUUUUAGGAGCACGCGUCGAGUUUCAAGGUCCCUCCGGGCCGGUCUAACCCUUUAUUUACUUCUAAGGUUGACCUCGGAUCAGGUAGGAAUACCCGCUGAACUUAAGCCAUAUCC